CCCUUAGAUGUCCUGGGCCGCACGCGCGUUACACUGAUGCAUUCAACGAGCUUAUAACCUUGGCCGAGAGGCCUGGGCAAUCUUGUUAACGUGCAUCGUGAUAGGGAUAGAUUAUUGAAAUUAUUAAUCUUGAACGAGGAAUUCCUAGUAAACGCAGAUCAUCAAUCUGCAUUGAUUACGUCCCUGCCCUUUGUACACACCGCCCGUCGCACCUACCGAUUGGGUGAUCCGGUGAAUGUUUUGGAUCGGCUUCAAGUUGGUUCGCGCCUCUUGCUUGCUGUGAAAUCAUGUAAACCUUAUUGCUUAGAGGAAGGAGAAGUCGUAACA
rnacentral:rRNA from 1 species